rnacentral:rRNA from 1 species
GAGUUUGAUCAUGGCUCAGGAUGAACGCUGGCGGCGUGCUUAACACAUGCAAGUCGAACGAACCUUCGGGUUAGUGGCGGACGGGUGAGUAACGCGUGGGAAUCUGCCCUCAGGAGGGGGAUAACGGUUGGAAACGACCGCUAAUACCCCAUAUGCCGAGAGGUGAAAUGAAUUUCGCCUGAGGAUGAGCCCGCGUCUGAUUAGCUUGUUGGUGAGGUAAUGGCUCACCAAGGCUUCGAUCAGUAGCUGGUCUGAGAGGAUGAUCAGCCACACUGGGACUGAGACACGGCCCAGACUCCUACGGGAGGCAGCAGUGGGGAAUUUUCCGCAAUGGGCGAAAGCCUGACGGAGCAACGCCGCGUGAGGGACGAAGGCCUCUGGGCUGUAAACCUCUUUUCUCAAGGAAGAAGAUAUGACGGUACUUGAGGAAUAAGCCACGGCUAAUUCCGUGCCAGCAGCCGCGGUAAUACGGGAGUGGCAAGCGUUAUCCGGAAUUAUUGGGCGUAAAGCGUCCGCAGGCGGCCUUUCAAGUCUGCUGUUAAAACGUGGAGCUCAACUCCAUCAUGACAGUGGAAACUGAUUGGCUUGAGUAUGGUAGGGGCAGAGGGAAUUCCCGGUGUAGCGGUGAAAUGCGUAGAUAUCGGGAAGAACACCAGUGGCGAAGGCGCUCUGCUGGGCCAUUACUGACGCUCAUGGACGAAAGCCAGGGGAGCGAAAGGGAUUAGAUACCCCUGUAGUCCUGGCCGUAAACGAUGAACACUAGGUGUCGGGGGAAUCGACCCCUUCGGUGUCGUAGCUAACGCGUUAAGUGUUCCGCCUGGGGAGUACGCACGCAAGUGUGAAACUCAAAGGAAUUGACGGGGGCCCGCACAAGCGGUGGAGUAUGUGGUUUAAUUCGAUGCAACGCGAAGAACCUUACCAGGGCUUGACAUCCUGCGAACCUUUAAGAAAUUAGAGGGUGCCUUCGGGAACGCAGUGACAGGUGGUGCAUGGCUGUCGUCAGCUCGUGUCGUGAGAUGUUGGGUUAAGUCCCGCAACGAGCGCAACCCACGUUUUUAGUUGCCAGCAUUUAGUUGGGCACUCUAGAAAGACCGCCGGUGAUAAACCGGAGGAAGGUGUGGAUGACGUCAAGUCAUCAUGCCCCUUACGUCCUGGGCUACACACGUACUACAAUGCUACGGACAAAGGGCAGCAAACUCGCGAGAGCUAGCAAAUCCCAUAAACCGUGGCUCAGUUCAGAUCGUAGGCUGCAACUCGCCUACGUGAAGUAGGAAUCGCUAGUAAUCGCAGGUCAGCAUACUGCGGUGAAUACGUUCCCGGGCCUUGUACACACCGCCCGUCACACCAUGGAAGUUGGCCACGCCCGAAGUCGUUACUUUAACCCUUGUGGAGAAGGACGCCGAAGGUGGGGCUGAUGACUGGGGUGAAGUCGUAACAAGGUAACC